rnacentral:rRNA from 1 species
GAGACACGGCCCAAACUCCUACGGGAGGCAGCAGUGGGGAAUAUUGCACAAUGGGGGAAACCCUGAUGCAGCGACGCCGCGUGAGUGAAGAAGUAUUUCGGUAUGUAAAGCUCUAUCAGCAGGGAAGAAAAUGACGGUACCUGACUAAGAAGCCCCGGCUAACUACGUGCCAGCAGCCGCGGUAAUACGUAGGGGGCAAGCGUUAUCCGGAUUUACUGGGUGUAAAGGGAGCGUAGACGGCAGCGCAAGUCUGAAGUGAAAUCCCAUGGCUUAACCAUGGAACUGCUUUGGAAACUGUGCAGCUGGAGUGCAGGAGAGGUAAGCGGAAUUCCUAGUGUAGCGGUGAAAUGCGUAGAUAUUAGGAGGAACACCAGUGGCGAAGGCGGCUUACUGGACUGUAACUGACGUUGAGGCUCGAAAGCGUGGGGAGCAAACAGGAUUAGAUACCCUGGUAGUCCACGCCGUAAACGAUGAUUACUAGGUGUUGGGGGACCAAGGUCCUUCG